AAGAUUUUAGAAUAUUAUUUAGUCAUACAAUUUGUUUUUGUUUGAAAAAACAAAGGGUAUCCUUUUUUUAAAAAAAAAUUCAAUCUUCAUAAUAAAUUAUUAGUACCAAUUAUACAAAUUAGUUUCUAGAGAAAAAAAUAAUCUUGAGAUUGUACGUUUACCAUUACCAUCCAAAGGGAACAUUGAGAUUUUUGUGAAAGGUUUGUGGGAAGCUUCGCAGAAAGAUCAAAGAUUUUCAUGAACCCCAUAACUCUUCAAACCUCGUAACAGCUUCGAAUUUCAAACCCCAUCAAUCUGGAUCUGGAAAAGAGAGAGAAAACUAGAGUCAUUUCUGAAAGACUACAUUGUGAUUUAUGUCAUUGCCUUUUAGACUGCAAAUGUCUUUUGAUAAAGCUAUCCAUCUCUCUGUUGGUGACUCAAACAAGUGGUUCAGCUUUUUUCAUCUCGCGUCUAUCAGGUAAAAUCUUCUUUACUUUCUCAAUCUUCUACGAAAUAAUUUGUCUGUGUGAGAUGGUCUGUUCUAAUAGUGACACCUUAGAUACUUCUUGUUACAGUAUUCGAUAUUUGACACCUCAGUUACUGGUUAUAUAUCUUCUUGUUACAGUAUUCGAUAUUUGACACCUUAGUCUUACACUACUCGAUUUGUAGUUGCUCGUUAUGCAUGGUGGCUUUAGUAUUGUUUUGCAGAUACUGUUAUGGAGCAGUAUAUACUGGCCUUAGCCCUUGUAUCUAACAUUGGACAUUGAAAGUUAUUUAGCCCUUGUAUCUAACAUUGGGCAUUGAAAGUUAUUUUCCACUAGCAUGAGUUUUAUGCAUAUAUACUUUAUGAUAAUCCAUAGAUCUACUUGUUUCCAGCUUCAAAAUGGGUGGAUAAUGGGUCCGCUCUUUUACCCUUCUUUGCUUAAAUACUACACUUGAUUUCGAUGAAUCAAGAAUUAUUGACAAAAGUAUUCGUUACUCCCUGAACUUGAAGCUUUUUAUUCGGUGUACAUCUAAAUUAUGUUCCGUUCUAAUUAUCUCCGAACUUGUUUAUUCCUCCAUCGCGUACACUUUUUUUGUCCACCUGCUCCUAUUGUGACUACACGCGUGCUACAAUUGGCAAAAGUGGUAAUUUUCACUUGGAUAAAUAAUAGUCACCUAGGUAAAUAGAGAUUUUACGUCUUUUUACCGUUGUAGCUUUAUGAUGUGGCAAAAAAUCACUUGCUCAUGUGCCUAAUAGAGUGUGUUGUCAAUUUCUACACCAGGUGAACAAUAAAGGUGUACGUGAUGGAGGAAUAAAUAAGUUUGGGAUAAUUAAAGCGGAAUAUAAUUUAGGUGUACGCACUACACAGAAUAAAAAGCUCAAGUUCAGAAAGGUAAUGAAUAGUUUUGCCUAAUUUAUUCGUUUUUUUAAAAAUAAUUUUGUUUGGUGGUCAAGUAUUCUAGAAAGCUGUUAGUUGGUUUGUGUUGACCUUUAAUAAUUUUUUUCUUUUUCCUUUUACUUGUUCAACAUAUUAAAAAAUAUUUUUUUUCUCUUUUUAUAUAUUCAUUUUAAUAAAUUAAAAGAUGUAAUUAUUUUUUCUUUCGAUAUACCAUUAUCCUGGAGUAUCCAUUUUAUGUAA